GGGAAGCUGGCUCAGUGGUAGAGUGCUUGCCUUGCAUGCAUGAGGCCCUGGGUUCGAUUCCUUAGCACCACA
rnacentral:tRNA from 1 species